UAUAGCUGCUCUCAUCACUCCACCGAUGAAACAGCAUUCAUUUUCUCACACUUCCUGCAACGCAGACUGAUAUGGGAGAUUUUGAACUGUGGACACAAUCUCAAAUGAGGCUGCUCUUGCAGGAGUCCCAGCCCCAUCCUGACCUGAAAUAUGAGAGUGAGGGAACUGGCACCUAGUCUCCAGUUUAAGGCACUGCCCUGGAGCUGACCUAAAGCUGGUAAUUUUUUUUUAAAUGGCAAACAGAAUGAGGAGGAAAGAGAAAGUGAUCUGGUGAACAUAAAGUUCUAACGCAUCCAAAACCAGAAAAUACACCUCAGGGCGGAGGGGCAAGCUGCGGCUUCAAUGAAUCCCUAUGGAAACGUAAAAAAAAGUAGAGUAAUCCUCAACUGGUUUCUCAAAAUAAUUGAACUUUUCACUCAAAGCUUAACUCAGAUGCAGAUUACUGUGCAAAAUUUGCACAUGGUACUGCUUAGAAACAGGUUCCAGAGACCUUGUCACCUAUAACGCAGCUUUUCACAGAGGGAGGAGGACAGCCUCCCGUAUUGUGCCUAUUGACAAUAAUCUAGCAGGAACUAUUACGUUACGUCCUAGAAAGGACAACUCGUGUCCAAAUCAGAGGAACAAUUUCACAGUGGCAGCUGUGAGAGGGGCUCGGCUUUUCCCUCUCAUCUAUCAAGCAACAUUUACCCUGAUAACUAUAAUCUUUCGAAAGGUAGAUAAAGCCAAUGUGGACUCUACAGAUAAGAGGAAUGUCAGCCUGAAAGUGAGGCUGUGCUGAGCAGCCGUGACAGUUAUGAAAUACUGUCACACAAGCUUGAAAAAGGAACCAAAAAAAAAAAAGGAAAAACGGCAAUAUAAGUAGACUGAGGCAAAUGCUCCCAGCACCCAUCCUACUUGUAGUAAGCCCUAGCUAGACUACAUCUGCCUGUGUUUGACACUUGAUAACACAUCUGCUUCUCAUUCUGAUGGAGCCUACAUACAAUUGUGUCUCCAGCUCUGAAAUUCCAAUGUACAAUUAUAAAAAUCUCUUCCAGCUGGCCUCCUCCUCCACCUCCCCCCAUUGCCAGGAGAUUAGACUUUAGAAAUAUUUCCAUACGAGUCUCAGUGCCAAGGCUGAAUGGCUGAUUCACACCCAGAGAGCUGUACAACUAAGGAAAAUACUUGCCUGUCACAUUUAUUUGCUUUUAUUCUGACAUUUACAAAUAUACUUUAUACAAAUAUUCUAGACCAGCCUACUGCAGGUCAUUGUAUCAAACAAUUAUUUGAACUGUACUAUAAUUUUUUUAAAAAUAUAACUAUGAAAACAGUUUCUCUUUCUACUCUGAAAGUACAAUAUUAUUUAUGAAGGUUGAUUCCUUGGCAACAGGCAAAAGCAAUAUGUUCUUUCUCCUUGUGACCUCUCAUUUUGCAGGCAUGAAGUAUUAUGAUCAAAGAGUUUUUUAGGGCUUAUUAUAGGUAGCAGGAAUAUGACAAUGCAUCUUGUUUACUACUACAUCAGGAUGCUACAAAUACUCUCAUAGAACUAAAAUUAUCACAGAGCAAUCACUAAUGGGGGUUAAGGACUGAUUUACUUUAACUUCUUAGUGACUGCUGGUUAAGUUGGCUUCUUUUUUAGGCUCUUUCUUGUAGAUAAGUCUUUAGGAUGGAGAAAUUGUGUUAAGUACCAACAAACAACAAAAGAGCUGUUUGUACUAUUUUCAAAAGAGCUUUUUCAAUGGUCCAGAAUAAAAUGAGUUGAUGUACCACUAAUCCCAAAAUGGUUAUAUUUCAAUGUGUUGGUAUAAGCACUAUAGAGUGGGUAUUUAUGCAAACAAAAAUCAGGGAGAUAAAUGGCACUUGCGCUGCUGAGUUAAUUCAAGCCCCAAGCUCCAUAUAACUCUUGUAAAUAGUUAUGUUUCCAAAACAUCCUGGAGUAAAUAAUCAGGAUCUGGCUGGGAUGGUAAAUAAUGCAUUAUUGUUUCUCUUUGGAGGUCCGGCUUUAUAUUCCUGAUAGGUGACAAAUUUGUUUGACUCACUUUACAUAAAUUUUAUAGGGCUACUUCGAGCAAGAAGUUUUACAGUCUUUAAACAGUAGCCAUUAAGUAACUUUUAUGGUGCAAAGGCAGAAUUAAAUAUUUUUUGUGCUGAUUUAAGUAAAACUUUGGAUAAUUUGUCUUGAAACAACAUUGCUUAUUAAAAGACACAUGGUGUACAAGAUAUUCUAAAAAUACCUAGUCCUUAAGUGCCUGCACUGAUAAGGAUUUCUGAGUGAUGGGAACAGAAGAGCAGCAGCACCAUCAUGACUGGGACACAAGGUAGGUAUCAAACUCCUGGCACUCAUAGCAUGCAACGCUGUCUAAAACCCACUCUCGGGUCACCAUGGCAGUACACUUCUGUUGGAUUACUGCAAAACAAAAUAUGAAUGAUAAAAUAAUAUCUGCAAAUCAGUGUGAGAUUCAGAUUGUGAGCUGUCUAUUUCAGCAUUAUUUUCAUUAACAGUGUUCAAAAUAUCAUUUCAAAUCAGUUACAUGGUGGCUACUACUCUACAUGUCCUGACAUUGCAUAAAAUGCAGCUGUUUCAUGGCCACUUG